rnacentral:lncRNA from 1 species
GGUGCUCCCAGAGGCUGCGCCCUGGGACACCGCUUCUAGAGAGGAGUGGUUCACACAGGCGCACGGGGUGGGGACAGACCCUAGCAUCGGAGCCAGACCCCGUCACCGCACGGGCCUGAGAAACCAGCGAGGCUCGUUACAAGGCCAGGCGCCUGUGAGUCACACUUUGCUGCUCCUGUUUGAGUUCUCAGAUAUCUAGAGUAGUCGUUAGGUAAAUACACAUCGACAUGCUCCUUCUCUAGCCACUUCCGCACCAUGUGCCCAUGGCAACCAGGAAGGCAGCAUGGAGAGGCCCUGGGGGCGAUGAGGGAGCUGCCGUAGAGACCCACAAUCCGCCGCUGUCAUCACUAAGAAACAAUUUUCACAAAACUGCAAAAGGAGAAACAUGGGGGCCAGCACCCCGGUUCCAGCAAGUGUGGAAAUCGCCGCAGGAAAAGCCUGCCACGUUCUGGGGUAGACCGAAGGCACCUGCAGAGCAGAGCGGCACUGCUGGGACACCCAGCCACCUCCCUCCUCCCCAGGCACUGUGUACUCCAGCUCCACAGCCCCUGAGCUACACCCAGGGCUUUCUUGGGCAAGAAGGUCAAAUGCUAAGCCUGCCAGGCACAUCACCACGGCCCUGCGGAGAGACAGCUCCACUUCCUGCCAGCCCAUCCUCCAGUGGUGCUUCUAUUCCACUGCAGUGUGUAGUCAUGGAGAUUUCGUCGGCACAAGAGACGCUCUUCCCAUUAUACACAUUUUUAAAGUUCACAAAUAUCCCAAGAAAUGAAUGAAAUCACAGACACUGGUCUGUUGCCUGUUAAAUAUCUCUGCACAAAAAGCAACAUUAUAUUCUCUGCUGCACCCUGAGGAACAUCUGCAGCUCCCAGAACUCAGUCUGCCUUGGUCUACAUUACUGUUUUCACUGCAGUCCUGCUUUUCUUUCUAGGAAGGAUGCCAAACUUGAUCUACCAACCCCUGUAGAUGAAAGCUGCAUUUGUUUCUGUCAUUGCUAUUGAUUAAUAUAUUUGUAGGAUAGUCCUGCCUACUGAGAUGAUGGUUCAAAGCAUAUGUGUGUGUUUAAUUUCAAUACAAAGACCCAAUUCCUUCCCUAAAAGGCUGUACUAAUCUAUAUGUCAGCCCUAAGGAAGCCCCCUGCCUUCUUGCAUCUAUACUUACAGCUAAAUCCAGUAUGCAACUAUCUAUCAGAAUACUGUAAAAUAAAUCCUCAGUCUGGAUUUAUUAAUACUGGACAUUUUUUAAAUG